UGGCAAUGACGAGAUCUGUAUAAAAGAACACCAUCUUUCGGGACUGAAUGGCCUUCUCGAAGGCCUUGCUGUCAAUUCUACGAUUCCGAUGCCA